rnacentral:rRNA from 2 species
AAGUUUCAACAACGGAUCUCUUGGCUCUCGCAUCGAUG